rnacentral:piRNA from 1 species
UCCAGAGUCAGAAGCUUGUGUGAGUUAAAU